GAGGUUGUGGCUCAGUGAUAGAGCACUUGUCUCACACGUGUGGGGUACUGGGUCUGAUCCUUAGCACCACAUAAAAAUAAAUAAAUAAAGAUACUGUGUCCAUCUACAAUUAAAAACAUAUUAAAAAAAAAAACUGAACCAUUGGCUGGGUUGUGGCUCAGCAAUAGAGCGCUUGCCUAGCACAUGCAAGUCCCUGGGUUCGAUCCUCAGCCCACA
rnacentral:tRNA from 1 species